UCCUUGGAAAGCUGAACAAAAUGAGUGAAAACUCAUACCGUCGCUCUCAUCGGAACUGAGGUCCAGCACAUUGCCUCCCCUGGGGACUGUAGGAGUGAGGGACAAGGAGAAGCAGCUGUACGAGUUGUCCCUUGGGAAAGACUGACACUGAUGUGACUGAUGGACCUGGGCUUGUUCCUCAAGCGUGUGUAUGUUACCUUUGCAUUUCUCAGGGGCAGUUGCCUUGCUUGAGAGGCCCACCGCAUGCUGGCCUGACAGAUGGUUGUUUCUUCUGAGCAACGGAGUCCCCACGGAGUCGUGGAGUCAUUAUGGCCUGGCAUCCAUGGUGCAUCUCAUGCUGGCGGGUGUCUCAGGACGGGGCAGUUGCCAUGGGAGGCCCACCGCGUCCUGAAAGGAAGAUGCUCAAUUUUUCGGAGCAUCGGAAGAGGAUACCUGGAUUCGGAGUGGCGUGGCCUCCACGGUGCACCCCGUGCUGGUGGACAGGUCAGGACGGGGCAGUUGCCUUGAGAUGCCCACCAUGUGCUGCCGCAACACAUGGUUGAUUCUUCCAAGCAGCGGAGUCCCUAUGGAGUCGUGGAGUCAGUGUGGCCUGGCAUCCAUGGUGCACCUCAUGCUGGCAGGUGGCUCAGCAUGGUAAGCAUUCCUCCCCUGAGUGCUGAGUGAGGGUAUCUUGUCGAUUUCCAAGGCAGGCAUUGCCCAGCCUGUGGUGUCAAACAUCCUGUGUUUUCAAAUGUGCUUGGAUCGAUGAUGAGUCCUACAAAAAAACAUUCCUUGGAAAAGCUGAACAAAAUGAGUGAAAACUCAUACCGUCGCUCUCAUCGGAACUGAGGUCCAGCACAUUGAAUGGAAUUGAAGUGAUCAGCAGACCUUCAAUUUAAUUGGUCCUGUUUCUCAAGUGUGCAUUUGAUUUAUUCACACUUCUCAGGAUCAGUUAAUCAUGAAAGCUCUGCUGCUUGCUGGCAAGGAAGAUGAUCUAGUCUUCUGACCUAUAGAGGCUGCAUUGAGUCCUUGAUUCAGUGUGGCGUGCUGUCUGCAGUGCACCCCGUGCUGGUGGGUGGCUCAGGACGGUAAGCAUUUCUCUGCCCUGUGUGCACAGGUGUCGUUCAAAUUUCUGAGACCCAGAAAGAGCUGUUUGUUAGGAGGUCACUAAUGGCAUGGCGAGUUCCACUCCCUGAGUCGAUGGUCUGUGCCCAUUGCUCAGUGGCAUGGCUCUGGGUUCUCCAGCAUGCCGAAGGUCUUUAGGGUCAUCGGCUUGCCCACCGCCCAGCCUGUGGUGUCAAACGUCCUACCUCUUGGAAUGUGCUUGGAUCGAUGAUCAGUCCCUCAAAAAAACAUUCCUUGGAAAAGCUGAACAAAAUGAGUAAAAACUCAUACCGUUGCUCUCAUCACAACUGAGGUCCAGCACAUUGCCUCCCCCCGGGGACUGUAGGAGUGAGGGACAACUUCACUGAUUCCCAUAGGUUCCAUCACCCGGGGCAUUCAGAGGCCAAAGGUUCCCAUCAAAUGC
rnacentral:lncRNA from 13 species